GAGCUAAGUUAAUCAAAAUAAAGCUUCUAACUUUAAUUUUAAGCAGUUCAAUCCUGUUUUUAGCUCU
rnacentral:tRNA from 1 species